GACGAACGCUGGCGGCGUGCUUAACACAUGCAAGUCGAACGAUGAAGCCCAGCUUGCUGGGUGGAAGAGUGGCGAACGGGUGAGUAACACGUGAGUAACCUGCCCCUGACUCUGGGAUAAGCGCUAGAAAUGGCGUCUAAUACUGGAUAUGACCUAUCACCGCAUGGUGUGUGGGUGGAAAGAUUUAUCGGUUGGGGAUGGACUCGCGGCCUAUCAGCUUGUUGGUGAGGUAAUGGCUCACCAAGGCGACGACGGGUAGCCGGCCUGAGAGGGUGACCGGCCACACUGGGACUGAGACACGGCCCAGACUCCUACGGGAGGCAGCAGUGGGGAAUAUUGCACAAUGGGCGCAAGCCUGAUGCAGCAACGCCGCGUGAGGGAUGACGGCCUUCGGGUUGUAAACCUCUUUUGGUGGGGAAGAAGCGAAAGUGACGGUACCUGCAGAAAAAGCACCGGCUAACUACGUGCCAGCCGCCGCGGUAA
rnacentral:rRNA from 1 species